GUACUGUUGAGUAGUCCCACAAUAGGACGAAACGGCCGUCCAGUGC
rnacentral:hammerhead_ribozyme from 1 species